rnacentral:sRNA from 1 species
AUUCCUUCAUAGCUAAUCUUAGUAUGUUUAUUUUUAUUUUAGGAUGCUAUUUAUCAACUCAACAUAUAACUCACUAUUUUUAUAACCUUCUAAUAUAUCAUUAACUUGUCUAAUAGGUAUUUCUGGUACUUCUCUAAUAUUUUCCAAUUUUGUUUUAAAUUGUUUUUUUGUUAUUUGCUCUUUAUUUGUAGCCAAUUGGAACAAGUAAGAAUCUAGCAUAUUAAUUUCUUUAUAUGAAUACAUAUAUCUUAAUAACACUAAAUCUCUAGUUUUUAAGUUAGGCGCUAGUUCUUCUUGUAAUUGUUCUAUUGAUUGUUUCAUUAAUAACAAUCUCAUUUCUAAUUCUUCAUUAUUCAUUUUAUCACACUCUUUUUAUAUUAAUGCUUGACCAACUUGGGAAACCCAAAACCCUAUGCUUCUUGCAGUAGAAUCUUUAAUACCAGUUCCCAUCAAUGCUUGUGAAACUUGACCUUGUACAUUUCCCCAUGUAGCCUCUUCUUGUUUUAAUGCAUUAUUCAAUGCGGGAUUUACAAAUUUAUCCCAUCUUUUUUUUAUGAUUUUCCGGCACGGGGACUGAUUUCUUUAACACCAUUAAACACAGAUUUUUUAUUUUUAAUCAUAGCUUUAUAGUAUCAUGUUGGCUAAGCUAUAAAUAAGUCAGUUUCUCUAAAAAUUAAAUAACUGAAUGUAAGACAAUCAACAAACCAAAUUUAUACUUCAUCUAAACCACUGUGGUCGUCAUCUUUUUGCUUUUCUUUUUCUUUCUCUCGUUCUUGUUCUUUUUUGUACUCUUCUUCAAAUUCUUUUUCUUUCUUUUCUACUUCUUCUCUUGUUUCCGCUCUAUGAGAAAAAUCUUCGGUUUUAAGUUUACUAAAUUUGAAUGAUUUAGAAUCAACUGUUUUAUCUUCUGAGUAUUUAUGGACAUUUAAAUUAAUAUUUCCAUCACCUCUUAACUCAUAGAUAAACAUGGCUUGUGCAGUUUUGCCUUUUUUAAUUUGAUCUUGGUUAUGUUCUGUCCAAUCUUUAUAUUUUUUAUCACUUAAAAGAUAACCAUCUCUUAAUUUAUUUACUGUAUUUUUAUCAUCUUGAGUGAUAUUAAUAUAGUCAUGAGAAAUAGAAGAUGGAUUUAAAUCUUUAUCGUCUUUUUUAGCAGUAAUUUCCAUUUUAAAAGCGAUAUAUUUCUUUUUCUCAUCUUUUUCAUUGAUGAUAAACGGUUCUUUUAUUUUAGCUUCAAAUUUGUCACUAACAAUAGUAUCGCCUUUAAUUUUUAUAUCCAUAUUUUUUUUGCUUUUAAAUUCUUUAAGUUCUUCAUUUAAUUCUUCAUUGUCAUUUUCUUUCUUUUUGUGACUAGUGCUCUCUUUUUUUGCACUAUCUUGAUGAUGUCCACAAGCACCUAAGAUAAGUGUACUUGCUAAUAAUAUCCCCAUUACUUUUUUCAUUUAACAUGUCUCCUUUAUUUCGCAAAAAUUUAUUUUAAAAACUCUAAAUGACUUAUCAUUUUGAGUAAUUAAACAAAGUUGAUAUUUUGUGAGAUUCUAAGAUGAUAUUAAAUAAUUCUUGUAAUAAUGAUCCUAUGUAUUGUUGCAAUAAAUUAAUGAAACUAUAAUUACUAAUAUUAUAUUACUUUUAUUGAUAGAAAUAUAUUACUUUUUUAAAAAACUUGUAAUAUAUCGAAAGAUUUAAAUGUAAAAUUUUGAUUUGUUAAGAAAUUACGUUUGUAAAAAUAAAAAAAUCAACUUAUUUGUAUGAGAUAAAUAUGUAUUGAAGAAGACGUGUUAUUAAUUUGGAAAAUACUGGUCAAAGAUGGGAGCUCUUAAAAGCGUUAUUGUAUUUUUUAGUCAAUACAAAUAGAUUGCCGUAAUAAUAAUCGUACUUGAUGGUUAAAAAAUUACUUAAGGCUAUAAAGCAAAACUUUUUAUAUGAGCAGUCGAAUAUAACGUUUAAAAUGAUUGUUUUUGGAUAUAAACGAUUAAGUAAAAUGCUUUUUCAGUUUGAAAUUAAUCAUAUAAAUUUCUUAUGGGAGGGUUGAUAUCUUAAUGAUUAACAUUAUUUCAGCUAUAGGAUCUAUUGGAACAUUUAUUAUGGCUUUAUUUUAUUUUGUAUCAGUUUCAGUUCAACUUUAUCAAAUGAAAAUUAGCUUUCUGCCAGCUUUAGGUUUUAACCAAAUUUUAUUAGAAAGGGAGGAGGAUCAACUUAAUAUAAUGAAUUCGGCAACAGAAGAGCAUCAUCAUAAAGAUUAUAUUAAACUAUAUAAUUUAGGUGGCGGUGCUGCUAAAAAAAUUGCAAUAGAGGUUUUAUUGGGGAAGGAUAAAGUCAUUCAGAAAAAAUACGUGCAUAUUUUACCUAGUAAAGAAGGGUACAUGUUACCAAUUAAUAAAAAUGUGUACGAAGAAUUAGAAAGAACGAUUGAGAACAAUGGUCAUGAAGCUGAUUUGAAUGUACGUAUGACUUAUUAUCAUAAUGUAAGUCGCAAACAACAGGAAGUUAUAUUAAAAGGUCAAAUCGACCGUUUUAAUACUUAUAAUAAUAAAGAAAUUUAUGAUUUGCAGUUUAUCUAAAAAUUGAUUUAAGAGGGUAGUUGUUUAUUGCGAAAAAUAUCAUUCAAUUUUAAUGAAAUAAUGGCGUCAUUACUAUAAAAUAUUACUUUAUGUUGUAAUGCAUUUUUCUAUAAGAUAGAACUAAAAGGAGGGGCAAAGAUGCAAAUUAGACAAAUACAUCAACAUGACUUUGCUCAAGUGGACCAGUUAAUUAGAACGGCAUUUGAAAAUAGUGAACAUGGUUAUGGUAAUGAAUCAGAGCUAGUAGACCAAAUUCGUCUAAGUGAUACGUAUGACAAUACCUUAGAAUUAGUAGCUGUUCUUCAAAAUGAAGUUGUAGGGCACGGUUUACUAAGUGAAGUUUAUCUUGAUAACGAGGCACAACGGGAAAUUGGAUUAGUGUUAGCACCUGUAUCUGUUGAUAUUCAUCAUCAAAAUAAAGGUAUUGGGAAGCGAUUGAUUCAAGCAUUAGAACGAGAAGCAAUAUUAAAAGGAUAUAAUUUUAUCAGUGUAUUAGGAUGGCCGACGUAUUAUGCCAAUCUAGGAUAUCAACGCGCAAGUAUGUACGACAUUUAUCCACCAUAUGAUGGUAUACCAGACGAAGCGUUUUUAAUUAAAGAAUUAAAAGUGAACAGUUUAGCGGGAAAAACAGGUACCAUAAAUUACACAUCUGCUUUUGAAAAAAUAUGAUUUCAAGCUAGGAUUACAUUAGGUAGAGUUCAUAUUAAUAAUAAAAAAUGUUUGCAAUCAAAUCGUACGUUGUCGUUUGUAAUUCUUAAAAUAGCAAUAAAUAAAAUGUUUGUUAGUAAAGUAUUAUUGUGGAUAAUAAAAUAUCGAUACAAAUUAAUUGCUAUAAUGCAAUUUUAGUGUAUAAUUCCAUUAACAGAGAUUAAAUAUAUCUUUAAAGGGUAUAUAGUUAAUAUAAAAUGACUUUUUAAAAAGAGGGAAUAAAAUGAAUAUGAAGAAAAAAGAAAAACACGCAAUUCGGAAAAAAUCGAUUGGCGUGGCUUCAGUGCUUGUAGGUACGUUAAUCGGUUUUGGACUACUCAGCAGUAAAGAAGCAGAUGCAAGUGAAAAUAGUGUUACGCAAUCUGAUAGCGCAAGUAACGAAAGCAAAAGUAAUGAUUCAAGUAGCGUUAGUGCUGCACCUAAAACAGACGACACAAACGUGAGUGAUACUAAAACAUCGUCAAACACUAAUAAUGGCGAAACGAGUGUGGCGCAAAAUCCAGCACAACAGGAAACGACACAAUCAUCAUCAACAAAUGCAACUACGGAAGAAACGCCGGUAACUGGUGAAGCUACUACUACGACAACGAAUCAAGCUAAUACACCGGCAACAACUCAAUCAAGCAAUACAAAUGCGGAGGAAUUAGUGAAUCAAACAAGUAAUGAAACGACUUCUAAUGAUACUAAUACAGUAUCAUCUGUAAAUUCACCUCAAAAUUCUACAAAUGCGGAAAAUGUUUCAACAACGCAAGAUACUUCAACUGAAGCAACACCUUCAAACAAUGAAUCAGCUCCACAGAGUACAGAUGCAAGUAAUAAAGAUGUAGUUAAUCAAGCGGUUAAUACAAGUGCGCCUAGAAUGAGAGCAUUUAGUUUAGCGGCAGUAGCUGCAGAUGCACCGGCAGCUGGCACAGAUAUUACGAAUCAGUUGACGAAUGUGACAGUUGGUAUUGACU